GACGAACGCUGGCGGCGUGCUUAACACAUGCAAGUCGAACGGAAAGGCCCUGCUUUUGUGGGGUGCUCGAGUGGCGAACGGGUGAGUAACACGUGAGUAACCUGCCCUUGACUUUGGGAUAACUUCAGGAAACUGGGGCUAAUACCGGAUAGGAGCUCCUGCUGCAUGGUGGGGGUUGGAAAGUUUCGGCGGUUGGGGAUGGACUCGCGGCUUAUCAGCUUGUUGGUGGGGUAGUGGCUUACCAAGGCUUUGACGGGUAGCCGGCCUGAGAGGGUGACCGGCCACAUUGGGACUGAGAUACGGCCCAGACUCCUACGGGGGGCAGCAGUGGGGAGUAUUGCACAAUGGGCGGAAGCCUGAUGCAGCAACGCCGCGUGCGGGAUGACGGCCUUCGGGUUAUGAACCGCUUUCGCCUGUGACGAAGCGUGAGUGACGGUAAUGGGUAAAGAAGCACCGGCUAACUACGUG
rnacentral:rRNA from 1 species